rnacentral:ncRNA from 1 species
AUCCCCGUGAGAAUGCCCUAAAACUCCUAAUAAGGAGUCAAGGAGCAGGUAUCAGGCACAAUACAACAUUAGCCCACAACACCUUGCUAAGCCACACCCCCAAGGGACUUCAGCAGUGAUUAAUAUUAAGCCAUAAGUGCAAACUUGACUUAGCUAAAGCCAAUCAGAGCCGGUAAAACUCGUGCCAGCCACCGCGGUUAUACGAGAGGCUCAAGCUGAUAGACACCGGCGUAAAGAGUGGUUAAAAAACAAUAAAACUAAAGCUAAAUACCUCCAAAGCUGUUAUACGCAACCGAAGGCAAGAAAAACCCUUACGAAAGUAGCUUUAAAAUUAUGAACCCACGAAAACUAGGACACAAACUGGGAUUAGAUACCCCACUAUGCCUAGCCCUAAACAAAAAUGACACCCUUACAUCUGUCACUCGCCCGGGAACUACAAGCACUAGCUCAAAACCCAAAGGACUUGGCGGUGCUUUAGAACCACCUAGAGGAGCCUGUUCUGUAACCGAUAAUCCCCGUUUAACCUCACCCUUUCUCGCCACUACCGUCUAUAUACCGCCGUCGUCAGCUUACCCUAUAAGGGUCCCAUAGUAAGCAAGACUGGUAAAACCCAACACGUCAGGUCGAGGUGUAGCAUACGAAAGGGAAAGAAAUGGGCUACACUCCCUGACACAGGGAAUACAAACAGUAAUUUGAAAUAAUUACCCAAAAGUGGAUUUAGCAGUAAGAGAGGAAAACAGAAAAUUCCCCUGAAACCGGCCCUGAAGCGCGCACACACCGCCCGUCACUCUCCCCCAACACAUACCAAAUCCUAACAUAUAAUAAUAAUCUCCACAAAGGGGAGACAAGUCGUAACAUGGUAAGUGUACCGGAAGGUGUACUUGGAAAAAC